GGUGAGUAACACGUGGGCAACCUGCCCUGCAGACUGGGAUAACUUCGGGAAACCGGAGCUAAUACCGGAUAACACCGAAAACCGCAUGGUUUUCGGUUGAAAGGCGGCUUUUAGCUAUCACUUACAGAUGGGCCCGCGGCGCAUUANCUAGUUGGUGGGGUAAAGGCCUACCAAGGCAACGAUGCGUAGCCGACCUGAGAGGGUGAUCGGCCACACUGGGACUGANACACGGCCCAGACUCCUACGGGAGGCAGCAGUAGGGAAUCUUCCGCAAUGGACGAAAGUCUGACGGAGCAACGCCGCGUGAGUGAAGAAGGUCUUCGGAUCGUAAAGCUCUGUUGUUAGGGAAGAACAAGUACCGGAGUAACUGUCGGUACCUUGACGGUACCUAACCAGAAAGCCACGGCUAACUACGUGCCAGCAGCCGCGGUAAUACGUAGGUGGCAAGCGUUGUCCGGAAUUAUUGGGCGUAAAGCGCGCGCAGGCGGUUCCUUAAGUCUGAUGUGAAAUCUCGCGGCUCAACCGCGAGCGGCCAUUGNAAACUGGGGAACUUGAGUGCAGGAGAGGGGAGCGGAAUUCCACGUGUAGCGGUGAAAUGCGUAGGGAUGUGGANGAACACCAGUGGCGAAGGCGGCUCUNUGGCCUGUAACUGACGCUGANGCGCGAAAGCGUGGGGAGCGAACAGGAUUAGAUACCCUGGUAGUCCACGCC
rnacentral:rRNA from 1 species